CUAUAUGUGUCUUUAGCUCUGAAGUGAGUCUCUUGUAGGCAGCAUAUAGACAGGUAUUGUCCUUUUAUUCAUUCAGUCACCCUAUGUCUUUUGAUUAAAGCAUUUAAAGUAAUCAUUGCUACAUAUGUACUCAUUGCCAUUUUGUUUUUUUUUUUUUUUUUUUUUUGUAGUUCUCUCUUCCUUUCUUCUUCUCUUGCUCUCUUCCACUGUGAUUGAUGAUUUUCUUUAGUGUUAUGCUUGGAUUCAUUUCUCUUUAUUUUUGUGUAUCUAUCAUAGGUUUUUGGUUUGUGGUUACCAUUAAAAUUUGUAUCUAACAUCCUAAGUAUAUAGGAGUCUAUAUUAAGUUGACAGUCACUAAUUUUGAACACAUUCUAAACAAACUACAUUUUUACUCCCAUAUUUGGUGAACAGAAAGGAGACCAGUCUUGCUGGAGUGCAAUAAUUCAGGAAGAUAAACUUAGGAAAUUAAUUUCAAGAUGUAAGAGGGUAGGGGAAUCAUGUAGAUCUUUUUAAGCCACCAUAAGGAUUUUGGUUUUUAUUCUGAAAAAAACUGAGGAGCCACUGGAGGACUUUGAACCAAAAAGAAACAUGAUCUGGCUUAAGUUUUGAAAGUAUUACUCUGGCUGCUUUAUGGAGAACAGAUUAUGUUGCAGGGAGUAUUUGGUUUGAAUGCAAACACGCAGACCAUUUAGAAAAAUAUUGUAUUAAUCUCUAAAACAUAGAAUGGUAGCUUAGAUCAAGGUGGUAGCAGUGGAGAAAGAAACAUGUGGUUGAAUUCUGGAUAUAUUCUGAUGGUAAAUAGGAUUUUCUGUAGCAUUAGAGGUAGAGUGUGAGAGAAAGGUGUUGAGAAUUGCUCCCAAGGAUUUUCAAUAUGAUAAUCUGGAAGGGAAGUUACCCUUGACUGAGAUAAGGAGAUUAUGAGUAAAACCGGUUUUGGAGAGACCAUGGGCAGUUUAUUUUUAUAUAUGUUUGAAUUGUUUGUCAAAUAAUACAUAUAUGUUGUUUGAAUUGUCUGUCAAACAUCCAAGUGGAAAUGCUGCAUCUGUAGUUAGUAUAUUCUAGUCUGGAACUCACAGCAAUGGCUUAGGAUAAGCAUGUGAAUUUUGGAGUCAUCAGCUGACUACAUAAGAUGGUAUGGGGAUUGAAGAAGAUGAACAUUACAUGUACAAGGAUGGAGCCCUGGGCCCCACUGAUGAGGCCUGGGAGAAUGGUGGGACCCACACAGGAGCCUGGAAGGGAGUGACCCAUGAUGUAGAGAGAAAAAUACAGGAGAAUGUGGUACCUAGAAGCCUAGUGAGGAGAGUAUUUCCAGGAGGAGAAAGAGCUCAACCAUGCUGAAUAUAGCAGAUAGGUUAAGAAAAAUAGGUAGGUUAAGGCCAAUUAGAGCAGAUUUCAGUGAGAAUGGGAAGGGACAAAUUAGAGACCAUGAGUACAAUUCUGUUGAGGAAAUUUGCUGGAAAUGGGAGCAGAGAAACAGGGUGGUAGUCAAAGAAGAAAGGGUCAAAGAUUAUUUUAUUUGUUUUUGUGUUUUUUUCCAUCUUAAAGACACUAUAUAUGUGUUCUCAUGAGAAUGAUUCAAUACAGUGGGGAAAGUUGAAGAUUUUUGAAGGAAAAUAGAGAGAAUCAGACCCCAAGACUCCAAGUAAAUCAGGAGGAUGGAUUCUGGUAUACAGUUGAGAUGGUUAGCCUUAGACAGGAUUAGAAACAACUCAUGUUUUGUACUGUGAAGGAAGGCAAAGUAUGAGGGUUGAGAUGUUACUAGGUUUGGAACUUGUGGCAGUUCCCUUCCAAAUGACUCCAAGUUCUCCCUGAGGCAGGAAGCAAAGUCGUUAUUUGAUAGAGAAGAUGGGGAAGGACAUGAUGAAGAUUUGAGGAGAAAGGAGAAAAUGUGAAAUUGAUAUUUGGAACAGAUGAUUUAGAUGACUGCCCCUGGAUAAUGCUGUUAUGAGAGGGUAUUUUUUUUUUACAUUUUUAUUUGCAUAUUCCAUUUUCCAUUUUUUCCAUAUUAAAUAAGUAAAUCUUGUACAACACGGAAGUAUUUUUAAAAAAACUUCUUCCUAGAAGUGUAAUCCAUAAUCUCAGGGGAAAUAGUAAUUUUUAGUAGUUUCAUCAUAGCAAAAGAAACGGAGACAGAUUACCUGAUUAAUGGCUCCAAGCAUCUCAGCCCUACUGGCCACUCGUGCAGUGCACUGGCUAAGGAAAGUAAUACUCUUCUCCAGCUUCUUAACAAUUUCCUGGGCAUGGUUGUCAUCUUCACAAAGUGGUGUUAAAGACUGCACAGAAAGUAAAGUAUUAAAAUAUAUGCAACCCAAGUAUUCAGCAAAUGAUUCUAACACUAUGUUGUAAAUACAAAUGACAGUCACAUCUCACUUAUGUUGGUGGAAAGUGAAAAGCAGCAGCAAAGACCAAUAAUGAAUGGUAUUGAAAUAUUAAUAUCAUUGUUGGCUAUCAAACAGACUAUGCAGAUGUUCACAAAACUUUUUAUAUCUAGUAUUGAUCUCUUCCUUCUUUACUUCCUGAAUUUGCCAUUCUUUUGUGCCCAUUUCUACCUACCACUUUUCCACUUAACAGAAUAGGAUAUACUUAACUGGUAAUGGUAGAGAAAUUGUGCUUAUGAAUGAGAAAUUGUGCUUAUGAAUGUGCUUAUUGUAUAAGGAGCAUGGUUUGAACUUUUAAGAAAAGUAGUGAAAUAUACUACAUUUAGAUAUGGCUCUGACUUAUAUACUUCCUCUUGUAUUGAUUACAAAGCAUUAUUGGGCAGGUUAUAUGGGUAUGCCUGCACUGCCUCAUGAAUAUUUCUUUCAAACCUGUGCCCUUUCCUGAUGGAAGACCAUCCAUUUCACUAGGGUAGAGACAGAAUUAAGUGGACAGAUUUGGAAACAAACAAGCCACUGCUUAUUAGCUGUGUUUCCAUGAGUGAAUUUCUAAGACUUGCCCAAAUCUAAAACACCAUAAAUUUUGUAUAUGAUUAAAAAAGGAAAAGUUGUGUCAAUAAAAUUAUAAGGCAUCACUGACAA